GUUGGUAGAUAAGGUGUAUUUUCUGUUGUGGUAUUUCUUUUUAUCUUGAGUGUUUGAGUAUGGAGAUGAGACCUGAUAUCUUAUAACUAUUCACUUCAAAAAAGCAAAUAACAAAUUUAAAUAGUCAAUUCGAGACCUAAAAUAAGGUUGGUAGAAAAACCUUAACACAAUUGUUUUUAUCUUGCCUCUCUGUUCGAACACCGAAAUUAAGGAUGUUCGCUACUCUGUUUCAAAAUAAAAAGC
rnacentral:lncRNA from 1 species